AUUGAACGCUGGCGGCAUGCUUUACACAUGCAAGUCGAACGGUAACAGGGUGCUUGCACCGCUGACGAGUGGCGAACCGGUGAGUAAUGCGUCGGAACGUGCCGAGUAGUGGGGGAUAACGCAGCGAAAGUUGUGCUAAUACCGCAUACGUACUGAGGUAGAAAGUGGGGGACCUUCGGGCCUCACGCUAUUCGAGCGGCCGACGUCUGAUUAGCUAGUAGGUGAGGUAAAGGCUCACCUAGGCGACGAUCAGUAGCGGGUCUGAGAGGAUGAGCCGCCACGCUGGGACUGAGACACGGCCCAGACUCCGACGGGAGGCAGCAGUGGGGAAUUUUGGACAAUGGGCGAAAGCCUGAUCCAGCCAUGCCGCGUGUCUGAAGAAGGCCUUCGGGUUGUAAAGGACUUUUGUCAGGGAGGAAAUCCCUAGUGCUAAUAACACUGGGGGAUGACAGUACCUGAAGAAUAAGCACCGGCUAACUACGUGCCAGCCGCCGCGGUAA
rnacentral:rRNA from 1 species